rnacentral:rRNA from 1 species
AGAACGAACGCUGGCGGCAGGCUUAACACAUGCAAGUCGAGCGCCUCGGCAACGGGGAGCGGCAGACGGGUGAGUAACGCGUGGGAACAUACCCUCCGGUUCGGAAUAACUCAGGGAAACUUGAGCUAAUACCGGAUACGGUAACCAAGAGAGAUUUUGGCGGCGAAAGAUUUAUCGCCGGAGGAUUGGCCCGCGUCCGAUUAGCUAGUUGGUGUGGUAAUGGCGCACCAAGGCGACGAUCGGUAGCUGGUCUGAGAGGAUGAUCAGCCACAUUGGGACUGAGACACGGCCCAAACUCCUACGGGAGGCAGCAGUGGGGAAUAUUGGACAAUGGGCGCAAGCCUGAUCCAGCCAUGCCGCGUGAGUGAUGAAGGCCUUAGGGUUGUAAAGCUCUUUCACCCACGACGAUAAUGACGGUAGUGGGAGAAGAAGCCCCGGCUAACUUCGUGCCAGCAGCCGC